AACGCAUCUUGCGCUCCUUGGUACUCCGAGGAGCAUGCCUGUUUGAGUGUCAUUAAAUUCUCAACUCUCUUAUACUUUGUUGUGUAGGAGGGCUUGGAUUGUGGAGGUUUGCUGGCAACUUGUUUGCGGUCAGCUCCUCUGAAAUGCAUUAGCGGAACCGUUUGCGAUCUGCCACAAGUGUGAUAAACUAUCUACACUGGCGAGGGGAUUGCUCUCUGUGUUGUUCAGCUUCUAAUCGUCUCAGUUUGAGACAAUUUUUUGAAUACUUGACCUCAAAUCAGGUAGGACUACCCGCUGAACUUAA
rnacentral:misc_RNA from 1 species